GCAGCAGUGGCCUAAUGGUUAGGGCUUCAGGCUUGUAACCGAAGGGUUGCCGGUUCAAACCCCGACCAGUAGGA
rnacentral:tRNA from 1 species